rnacentral:rRNA from 1 species
ACGCUCGACACCUACGGGAGGCUGCAGUGGGGAAUAUUGCACAAUGGGGGAAACCCUGAUGCAGCGACGCCGCGUGAGCGAAGAAGUAUUUCGGUAUGUAAAGCUCUAUCAGCAGGGAAGAAACUGACGGUACCUGACUAAGAAGCACCGGCUAAAUACGUGCCAGCAGCCGAGGUAAUCUGAGCGGGCUGGCAAGGC